UACCCAAUGUUUUGGACCAGGCUUCUUUCCUACGAGGACAAAAGGCGACCCGAAAAGAAAUUCGAAAGAAAUUGAAACCUCUGGUAACAAAAGGACCACUAGACAACCAUCUUAUUUGGAAGUUAAAAUCUACCAUGUCUCCAACCGUCGAAAGUAAAGCAAACCCAGCUGAAGAACAAGACGAAAUCAAUGCAAGUGUGGGGAGAAAUUUGCCUUA
rnacentral:lncRNA from 1 species